CAGGAUUAGAUACCCUGGUAGUCCACGCCGUAAACGAUGUCGACCAGCCGUUGGGUGCCUAGCGCACUUUGUGGCGAAGUUAACGCGAUAAGUCGACCGCCUGGGGAGUACGGCCGCAGGGUUAAAACUCAAAUGAAUUGACGGGGGCCCGCACAAGCGGUGGAGCAUGUGGUUUAAUUCGAUGCAACGCGAAGAACCUUACCUACCCUUGACAUCCUGCGAACCCGGAAGAGAUUCCGGGGUGCCUUCGGGAACGCAGAGACAGGUGCUGCAUGGCUGUCGUCAGCUCGUGUUGUGAAAUGUUGGGUUAAGUCCCGUAACGAGCGCAACCCUUGUCCUUAUUUGCCAGCGAGUAAUGUCGGGAACUCUAAGGAGACUGCCGGUGACAAACCGGAGGAAGGUGGGGACGACGUCAAGUCAUCAUGGCCCUUACGGGUAGGGCUACACACGUGCUACAAUGGCCGGUACAAAGGGCUGCGAGCUCGCGAGAGUCAGCGAAUCCCUUAAAGCCGGUCUCAGUCCGGAUCGGAGUCUGCAACUCGACUCCGUGAAGUCGGAAUCGCUAGUAAUCGUGAAUCAGAAUGUCACGGUGAAUACGUUCCCGGGCCUUGUACACACCGCCCGUCACACCAUGGGAGUGGACUGCACCAGAAGUGGUUAGCCUAACGCAAGAGGGCGAUCACCACGGUGUGGUUCAUGACUGGGGUGAAGUCGUAACAAGGUAGCCGUAGGGGAACCUGCGGCUGGAUCACCUCCUU
rnacentral:rRNA from 1 species